UACGUAGGGGGCAAGCGUUGUUCGGAAUUACUGGGCGUAAAGGGCGCGUAGGCGGCACGGCAAGUCGGGAGUGAAAGCCCGGGGCUCAACCCCGGAGGGUCUUCCGAAACUGCCGGGCUAGAGUGCGGAAGAGGCAACCGGAAUUCCCAGUGUAGCGGUGAAAUGCGUAGAUAUUGGGAAGAACACCGGAGGCGAAGGCGGGUUGCUGGGCCGACACUGACGCUGAGGCGCGAAAGCCAGGGGAGCAAACGG
rnacentral:rRNA from 1 species